UGCAAGUCGAACGGAAGUCGUUAUGAUGAUUUCAACACUGACAGAGAACUUGUUCAAAGAAAGUAGAGAUUGACUUAUAACAAUGGCUUUAGUGGCGGACUGGUGAGUAACACGUGAGCAACCUGCCUAUCAGAGGGGAAUAACAGUGAGAAAUCAUUGCUAAUACCGCAUAUGCCAUAAAUAUCACAUGAUGAAAGUGGGAAAGGAGUAAUCCGCUGAUAGAUGGGCUCGCGUCUGAUUAGAUAGUUGGUGGGGUAACGGCCUACCAAGUCGACGAUCAGUAGCCGGACUGAGAGGUUGAACGGCCACAUUGGGACUGAGAUACGGCCCAGACUCCUACGGGAGGCAGCAGUCGGGAAUAUUGCGCAAUGGAGGAAACUCUGACGCAGUGACGCCGUGUAUAGGAAGAAGGUUUUCGGAUUGUAAACUAUUGUCGUUAGGGAAGAUACAAGACAGUACCUAAGGAGGAAGCUCCGGCUAACUACGUGCCAGCAGCCGCGGUAAUACGUAGGGAGCAAGCGUUAUCCGGAUUUAUUGGGUGUAAAGGGUGCGUAGACGGGAAAGCAAGUUAGUUGUGAAAUCCCUCGGCUUAACUGAGGAACUGCAACUAAAACUACUUUUCUUGAGUGUUGGAGAGGAAAGUGGAAUUCCUAGUGUAGCGGUAAAAUG
rnacentral:rRNA from 1 species